rnacentral:rRNA from 1 species
UACGAAGGGGGCUAGCGUUGUUCGGAAUUACUGGGCGUAAAGCGCGCGUAGGCGGCUUUACAAGUCGGGUGUGAAAUCCCCAGGCUUAACCUGGGAACUGCAUUCGAGACUGCAUUGCUAGAGUAUGGGAGAGGGAAGUGGAAUUUCCGGUGUAGCGGUGAAAUGCGUAGAUAUCGGAAGGAACAUCAGUGGCGAAAGCGACUUCCUGGACCAAUACUGACGCUCAUGUGCGAAAGCGUGGGGAGCAAACAGG